rnacentral:rRNA from 1 species
CUCAGUUCGGAUUGAAGGCUGAAAUUCGCCUUCCAUGAAGCCGGAGUUGCUAGUAAUGGCAGGUCAGCAUACUGCCGUGAAUACGUUCCCGGGCCUUGUACACGCCGCCCGUCACACCAUGAGAGUUGGGGAUACCCGAAGCCUGUGAGCUAACUUUUAGAGGCAGCAGUCGAAGGUAGAAUCAAUGAUUGGGGUGAAGUCGUAACAAGGUAUC